UAUACGCUAUUCUUUUUUCGAAAAGGAUAGGAAAGCCGGGUCGAGGACCUGGUACUCAAGGGAGGGGCUCAUGUCCUAUCAGCUUGUUGGUGGGGUAACGGCCUACCAAGGCUACGACGGGUAGCUGGUCUGAGAGGAUGAUCAGCCACACUGGCACUGAGAUACGGGCCAGACUCCUACGGGAGGCAGCAGUGAGGAAUAUUGCGCAAUGGGCGAAAGCCUGACGCAGCGACGCCGCGUGGGGGAUGAAGGUUUUCGGAUUGUAAAACCCCUUUCAUGAGGAAAGAUAAAGUGGGUAACCACUUAGACGGUACCUCAAGAAGAAGCCACGGCUAACUUCGUG
rnacentral:rRNA from 1 species